GAUGAAGAACGUAGCGAAAUGCGAUACUUAGUGUGAAUUGCAGAAUUCAGUGAAUCAUCGAAUCUUUGAACGCACAUUGCACCUCUCGGUAUUCCGGGAGGUAUGCCUGUUCGAGCGUCAUUUGUACCCUCAAGCUCUGCUUGGUGUUGGGUGUUUGUUCCGCCUCUGUGUGUGAACUCGCCUCAAAACAAUUGGCAGCCGGCGUACUUGUUUCGGAGCGCAGCACAUUUUGCGAUCCAGAUCAACGUACAGCGGCAUCCAAGAAGCCUUAUUUAACGCUCUUGACCUCGGAUCAGGUAGGGAUACCCGCUGAACUUAAGCAUAUCAAUAAGCGGAGGA
rnacentral:misc_RNA from 1 species